UACGGAGGGUGCAAGCGUUAUCCGGAUUUACUGGGUUUAAAGGGUGCGUAGGUGGGUCUGUAAGUCAGUGGUGAAAUCUCCGAGCUUAACUCGGAAACUGCCAUUGAUACUAUAGGUCUUGAAUUAUCUGGAGGUAAGCGGAAUAUGUCAUGUAGCGGUGAAAUGCUUAGAUAUGACAUAGAACACCAAUUGCGAAGGCAGCUUACUACGGAUAUAUUGACACUGAGGCACGAAAGCGUGGGGAUCAAACGGG
rnacentral:rRNA from 1 species